ensembl:lncRNA
AGACUCGACUGCUCUGAGAAGGAUUUCUCUGGUAAAGAGAUCAGCGUGGAUCGUGUGGUUCUGGGAAUGCUUUCGCUCGUCCUCUGAGCCUCCUGAUUUGUUGGUGCUCGAGUUUUAUAGAAGCGCAAGUUAUUUUACUCACGGAUUCAUAAAUAGCGUGAGUUUAUUCAGUGCUCUGUCAUCCGUCAGCUUUUCCAAGUACCACCUGGACAGGUUGGCUUGAAGAAACAGAUUAUGCCGCUUUCCAACCCUUUGGCAGCUGGUGGAGCAUGGGCUAUCAGUCAUGUAAUUGUAAUGUCACAUCAAGCACACGGAGGAACUAUGAUUGUGUAGAGCCCAUGGACAAGUGAUCUCCAAAAGAGCCUUGUGAAAUCCAGAUGUCCAGUUGCUCCAGCACCAUUCAUUGAAAAGGCUAUCUUUCCUACAAUGAAUUGCUUUUGCAUUUUUGUUAAAAAUUAGAGUGUUUGUGUCUAUUUCUGGGUCCUCUGUUCUGUUCUGUUCCAUUGAUCAAUAUGUCUACCUCUCUGCCAGUAUUAUACAAUCUUGAUUACUUUAGCUGUAUAAUAACUCUUACAGCUACAUCACAAGUACUACUAUAGCUAGUACUUUAUGUAAGUAUACUGUUUAUUUUUCAAAAUUGUUGCAAUUAUUUUUAUUCUCAGUCUUUCCAUAUACAUUUUAUAAUAAUUUUAUCUAUGCCUAUAAAAAUUCCUCCUGCUGGAAUUCUGAUAGGAAUUGCAUUAAAUUUGUCUAUCACCCUGGGGAGAAUUUACAUUACUAUGAUGAAUCUUCAGUUCAUGAGGACAGUAUAUUUCUCCAUUUAUUUAGAUCUUCUUUGAUUUAUUUCAUCAGCAUUCUGUAGUUUUGGGCAUAUAAGUCCUAUACAUAUUUUGUUCCAUUUACAUCUAAGUAUUUCUCCCCUCUCUCUCUUCAUCUCCCUCUCUUUAUCCCUACCCUUGACUGAUUAUAAAUAAUAUUGUAUUUUUAAUUUUGGUGACAAAGAGUUCAUUGCUACUCUCUAUGUAGAAAAACAACUGAUUUUGCUAUAUUUAUCUGGCAUCCCUCAACCUUCUUGAACUCACUUAUUAAGAUUUUUGUAUAUUCCUAAGAACUUUACAUGUAGACAGUACUGCUGUCUGUAAAAGGAUAGCACUUCAAUUUUUAUCUGUAUAUCUUUUAUUUCCUUUUCUUGAUUUACUUCUCUGGCUAGAAAUUGCAGCAAUAUGUUGAAGAAAAGUAGCAAGAAUGCACAUCUUUGCCUUUUACCAAUCUUAACAGGAAAGCAUUCAGUCUUUCGCUAUUAAGUAUAAUGAUAGCUUCAGCUAUCAUUAUAUAACUUAACCCAGCUAUAAUAGGGUUUUUUAUAGCUGUCCUUUAUCAAGUUGAAAAAGUUUUUUUUCUUAUUUUUCUGGGAGUAUGUUAGAUGGGUGUUAAAGUUUGUCAUAAUGUACCAUAUCAAAUGAAGUAUAGGAAGUUUUAUGCCUUGCCUCAGCAUUUGAAAAUCAAUCAGUAUAAUUCACCAUUUUAUCAAGCAAAAGUAGCUAAUAUAACCCUCACCCAUUUAUACUGUAAUUAUCCAAAUAAUUUCUCUACAUAUAUUAGAAGCAUAUCAGAUUUUGAUAUAAUUUGGUUUCAACCAUGAAACAUAAGUAGAAGCUCAAGAGGAGAAGAAAAGCUUAUUGUUUUCAACUCAUAUUUUUAUCAUGUUCUUUUUCCUGAGAUCAUUUUGUUUCUGUUUAGAGAAUUCCUUUUAAGCCAGUCUUUUAGGAUAGGUCAGCUGACCACAGACUGUUAGUUUUUUUCAUCUGAGAAUGCUUUGGUUUUCUCUUAAUUCCUGGAAGAUACUUUCACUGGCACAGGAUUUGGGGUUGAAAGUUCUUUCCUUUCAGCUUUUGCAAAAUAUGAUGCCACUUCCUUCUGGCCUUAAUGAUUUCAAAUUUGCUUUUCUUUUAUAAUGAAGGUUUUCUCUGUCUGCUUUCAAAGAUUUUUCUUUGUCUUUAGUUUUCAGAAGAUUAAUUAUGAUUAAUUAUGAUGUGUCUUGGUGUAUAUUUCUUUCAUUUUAUCCUACUUGAGAACAAUUCAAAUGGUAUAUAUGUGGUACUAAGCAUAAUCCAAGAGUCCUAAGAAGCACAAUAUUUAUUGAGAGAAUUUAUGAAGAGUAGUAUUAGUUCUAGCUUUACAUUGGGUUGCAUUAUAGGAGGUUCUGUAAAUUACAAGAGAAAAUAAAAUUCUAAUGCC